GGAGAGUUUAAUUCUAAGAGUCUUUUUCUGAGAGUUGGAGUUGGAGUCUUAAGAGUCUGUUUGUAAGGGUCUGUGUUUCAGAAGUGUAGUGAGGUAGAGAUUGAAAACCGGUGGGGAAAUUGCGGCUUAUAUAUAAGAUAGGAGCCGGUUACAAAGUCUUUUUCUGGUCUGAGUUUACAAACUCGUAAUUGUAUCUACAGAAAGAAAAAAGACGACAAGUGAACAAAAAUACAUACCCAAGACGCAGAAUCUCAUAUGGUAUAUACCAAAAUCUACAAACACACAUUUUGUACUGAUCGACCAGGUCGCGGCCCGAAAAGCCAUCCCAUACUUAAAAAGCUGGUUUGAAAAAAUCAUGGCUUAUUACAUGUAUCAAAAAGAUCUUGGCAUAAUCAUUACUUUGAGUAAAUGAAAGUGUUCAAAGCAGGCAACGCCUGAAUCUUAUAGCAUGGAAUAACAAAAUAAGAUGAUUUUUUAUUUGUUGGUUCCUAAAAAUCAUAAUGAUUAAUAGGAACGGUCGGGGACAAGAGUAUUCAAUAGUUAGAGGUGAAAUUCUUAGAUUUAUUGAAGACUAACUACUGCGAAAGCAUUUUUCAAGGACGUUUUCACUAAUCAAGAACGUUUUCACUAAUCAAGAACGUUUUCACUAAUCAAGAACGAAAGUUAGGGGAUCGAAGAUGAUCAGAUACCGUCGUAGUCUUAACCAUAAACUAUGCCGACUAGGGAUCGGAUGUUGAUCAAAAUUUUGACACAUUCGGCACCUUACGAGAAAUCAAAGUUUUUGGGUUCUGGGGGGGGAGUAUGGUCGCAAGGCUGAAACUUAAAAGGAAUUGACGGAAGGGCACCACCAAGAGUGGAGACUGCGGCUUAAUUUGACUCAACACUCAACACGGGAAAUCUCACCAGGUCCAGACACAAUAAGGAUUGACAGAUUGAGAGCUCUUUCUUGAUUUUGUGGGUGGUGGUGCAUGGCCGUUCUUAGUUGGUAGAGUGAUUUGUCUGCUUAAUUGCGAUAACGAACGAGACCUUAACCUUUAAAUAGGUCCAUUAGCUUUUUGCUGAAAGGAACUUCUUAAAGGGACUAUUGAUUAAAAAUCAAUUGAAGUUUGAGACAAUAACAGGUCUGUGAUGCCCUUAGACGUUCUGGGCCGCAUGAGUUAUUAGUCUUUUAUAUAUAUAUAUAUCUAUUGUUAGAUUCUUGAAUACGUCUAAUACUGGGAGUUAUGUUCAUUCGUUGAUCAGCGAUAUGUUCCAGUCCGCCAUGACGGCCCUUCUGGUCACUUCCCAUCUCUCGGUCACACAACAUCAGCAAUCCAAUGGCCGGGUUGAGAAUCGCAACAAAUUGAUCGAGACCU
rnacentral:rRNA from 1 species